GGGCGGAUAGCUCAGCGGUAGAGCGUCGCCCUUACACGGCGAGCGUCACAGGUUCGAUCCCUGUUCCGCCCA
rnacentral:tRNA from 1 species